rnacentral:piRNA from 1 species
AUGGCCGUCUUUAUUCCUGUAUUUACGGUUC